AAAUUGAAGAGUUUGAUCAUGGCUCAGAUUGAACGCUGGCGGCAGGCCUAACACAUGCAAGUCGAGCGGUAACACAGAGAGCUUGCUCUCGGGUGACGAGCGGCGGACGGGUGAGUAAUGUCUGGGAAACUGCCUGAUGGAGGGGGAUAACUACUGGAAACGGUAGCUAAUACCGCAUAACGUCGCAAGACCAAAGUGGGGGACCUUCGGGCCUCAUGCCAUCAGAUGUGCCCAGAUGGGAUUAGCUAGUAGGUGGGGUAACGGCUCACCUAGGCGACGAUCCCUAGCUGGUCUGAGAGGAUGACCAGCCACACUGGAACUGAGACACGGUCCAGACUCCUACGGGAGGCAGCAGUGGGGAAUAUUGCACAAUGGGCGCAAGCCUGAUGCAGCCAUGCCGCGUGUGUGAAGAAGGCCUUCGGGUUGUAAAGCACUUUCAGCGGGGAGGAAGGCGGUGAGGUUAAUAACCUCAUCGAUUGACGUUACCCGCAGAAGAAGCACCGGCUAACUCCGUGCCAGCAGCCGCGGUAAUACGGAGGGUGCAAGCGUUAAUCGGAAUUACUGGGCGUAAAGCGCACGCAGGCGGUCUGUCAAGUCGGAUGUGAAAUCCCCGGGCUCAACCUGGGAACUGCAUUCGAAACUGGCAGGCUAGAGUCUUGUAGAGGGGGGUAGAAUUCCAGGUGUAGCGGUGAAAUGCGUAGAGAUCUGGAGGAAUACCGGUGGCGAAGGCGGCCCCCUGGACAAAGACUGACGCUCAGGUGCGAAAGCGUGGGGAGCAAACAGGAUUAGAUACCCUGGUAGUCCACGCCGUAAACGAUGUCGAUUUGGAGGUUGUGCCCUUGAGGCGUGGCUUCCGGAGCUAACGCGUUAAAUCGACCGCCUGGGGAGUACGGCCGCAAGGUUAAAACUCAAAUGAAUUGACGGGGGCCCGCACAAGCGGUGGAGCAUGUGGUUUAAUUCGAUGCAACGCGAAGAACCUUACCUGGUCUUGACAUCCACAGAACUUUCCAGAGAUGGAUUGGUGCCUUCGGGAACUGUGAGACAGGUGCUGCAUGGCUGUCGUCAGCUCGUGUUGUGAAAUGUUGGGUUAAGUCCCGCAACGAGCGCAACCCUUAUCCUUUGUUGCCAGCGGUUCGGCCGGGAACUCAAAGGAGACUGCCAGUGAUAAACUGGAGGAAGGUGGGGAUGACGUCAAGUCAUCAUGGCCCUUACGACCAGGGCUACACACGUGCUACAAUGGCAUAUACAAAGAGAAGCGACCUCGCGAGAGCAAGCGGACCUCAUAAAGUAUGUCGUAGUCCGGAUUGGAGUCUGCAACUCGACUCCAUGAAGUCGGAAUCGCUAGUAAUCGUAGAUCAGAAUGCUACGGUGAAUACGUUCCCGGGCCUUGUACACACCGCCCGUCACACCAUGGGAGUGGGUUGCAAAAGAAGUAGGUAGCUUAACCUUCGGGAGGGCGCUUACCACUUUGUGAUUCAUGACUGGGGUGAAGUCGUAACAAGGUAACCGUAGGGGAACCUGCGGUUGGAUCACCUCCUUA
rnacentral:rRNA from 1 species